rnacentral:lncRNA from 1 species
GAACCUAUCUGUUUGCACUACUGUUGCUUUCUACAGUUAGGUUACUCCUUUUCUUCACGUUAAAGAAAUCAUUUUUCCAUCUACUGGUCACAAAAGGAACUGGAAUCUAGAAGAGCAGAUGAGCUCUCUUUGAGAUGAGUUUAAAAAAAUCUGGGGUGGGGAAUUAUUGUGUUAACCUUCUGUAUUCUUUCUUUCUUAGGUCCAUAUUGAGAUCCACUGACUUGUGGCUUGGUAGGCUGCUUGUGCUCUAUGCUGGAACUAAAGUCAAUCACGCUUUUCAGACUCGGCCUGCUGUGAAACAGCAAAGCUAUGCCUGUCUCCUGUAGGAAUAUGGAGAAAGAAGACUUAAACCAGAAACAAGUAUCUGAAAGUGGCCCAGGUCAUCACAAGGCAGCAACUCGCCUUAAACACAUACAUUCUUUGUUGAACAGCUCUCAAAAUCGUAGUAACAGUUUACGAAAAGAAUUACUAUAUUUUAAGAUCAGGAAUUGUUCAGUCUUUAAUGCUAUACCUCUGUGUUAUAUUGGCAAGGAAAUGCCUCCGAGUUUGAGUGAAUCGGCAGGGAGAAACUCAAGUACAGCUGCUUCUUCAAAGGACUCAUUUUGUCUGCAUUUUUCUUCUGAGAAAGACAGACUUGAUAGGGUUUCUCUUUGCAUUAACAGUACUUCAGUAAAGGGCUGGAUGGAGAAAGCUUGCUGUUUUGCUAAAGGCUUAAGUAGCUGGUUCUGUCCAGGAGACAACAGUGUAUGCCUUGCAUACUUCUGGCUGUCAAAGUUGCAGUAUAAUCAAAACUCACUGUGCCUGGAAUCAGAAACGAGCAGCAGCAUAGAGAAUGAAUUGCAGCUUGCGUUUCCUGGAGAGUUGGAAUUUGGUGGACUUUCUGAUCUUUAUUCUAUUCCAGUUGCCUCACUGAGUGAAUAUACUAUGGGACUCUUAAACAACCAGAAACCAUGUUUUUUUCUUUGUUACUUAAACCUUGUAUCUUCAGAGAAAACAACUGGAUAUAAGAAAAUGCUUUCAAACAUAAAAUAUGUGACAAGUAAUUUUCACAUCAUACAGCUAGUGACUUCUGUGCUAGCUUUUGCACUAGCAGGUCUCUGGUAUGGAGUAGCAAAGGGCCUUGAUGCCACAAGUGAUAAAUGCUGA